rnacentral:lncRNA from 1 species
CAGGACCUGGUCCAACCCACUGCGCCACCGCGCCCCUCCCGCUAAAAAUACAAUUAAAAGCAAGUACAUUUUCUGGGAAAAAGAACCACUAUUGCUAUCGCUUUGCGUAACUUCUAACCCAAAACUGCAUUCAGCACCUCUUAGUUAGACUUUUAAUACGUUUGUAUUCGUUUUGAAAAAGAGCGCAAAAACAGUUCCCCGCAGUCAUGCGCAGUAGAGCGCAUCGCGCGGCAAAAGUUAGAAAGCUGGGGUCGCGCGCUGCUCCCUCACUGUCUGAGCGCGAGGGCACGGAGUCGCGGGAACGUGUCCCGAGCGGCCUGAAGCCAUGGAAAAUGUACGUGGGAAAGGAGCAGGCGAAGGACCUGAUGGAAGAUCCAGCAGAAAACGAACACCUGACACUGACGUCAGGAGUCCCUCGGACAGGAAGAGGACAAAGCAUGGUACUGGAAAAAUGCACAAGAAGUUGGAGAAAAGUGAGAAGCAUAGUGGUUCAACCAAGAUUAAGCACUUAAGCAUAGGAUCAAGAGGCAAGCCUCUGCAGGAACCUCAAAUUACAAGACUCACCAGCACAUUUGAGGACCUUCUCCAGAUCUUUUAUUCCCUCACUUCCAAGUUCUGCCCACAGGACCCUACCUGGACCACUUCACAAGUGAUCCUGAGGUAUCACAGUUCAGAGGAGCUCACCUGCCGUAUGGAGGCAGAGGCUGAAAACAGCGUUGGGGUUGCUGAUCCUUAUGCCAGUCACUUGGAAGAGGAUUCAUAUACAUCUCACUCUAAGAUUUCUGUGGAUUUGAACAGCAACUUAUCAGCUUACGAUGAAUUGUACAAAAGCCGAUUUAUCAAGAAGGUAAAUGGAUCUGCUGCAGAGCAAGAACAAACAUCUUCAGAGUCAGAAAGAUGGUCUACAGAUAAAACCAUUAAAAUUAAGCACAGAGGGUCCUCAGAAAUGCUGGCGGGUGAUAAGAAGCAGCAUAGGUUUACACAGAGAAGAAAUACUGACCAUGUUAAGAAAAAACAUGGUUCAGACUCCACAGAGCAUUCACUGGACACCCAGCUCACAACUGAGAGGUAAAUCUAGAUCACUGGUUUAUAUAAACUGCAUCUGAUUAUUGGUUUUUCCAAAACUUU